CCAGGACACCUCUCUGUGAAGAGAUCUCUUCUCUUUCUUUCACCUGUUAAAUUUCUGCUCUGAACCUCACUCAUUGUGUGUCUGCGUCCUAGUGUUCUGUGGCUGUGAGACAAUGAAUCUCAGGUAUUUACCCCAGCCAAUGACGCCACUUCAUUGUGGAGGCUCAUCCAAGAUCCAAGAAGCAAUUGAACUCCAAAUGGUGCUGCAGAUGGAACCACAUAUGGACACGCCCUUCUUCCGAGGACCCUUAAAUCAACCCCAGGAAAAGCCCUAGAUGCUGUUCCCCACGAGAUGUGCCUCUUCAGCAGAAAGUAGCCAAAAAAAAAAAGGUUGUCAUCCAACACCCCCUAACAACAGUUAGGGUUACCACUCCUGAGGGGGGAGAUAUGAUACAGGAUCUAGAAGAAAUUAUUUAAGCAGAUAGUGAGGGGAAAGGAAUCCUUGGAAAGGCUUUCCUUUUAACAAAAAGCACCCACAAAAUCAUUUCUUUUCUAACAAAGGGCAGCCUGAAAAAGCGAGUUGCAGACAUUGAUAAGCAAGCUAGAAGCUUGCACAGGUGAAUACUGGCAACUGUGCCAAUAGAAAAGGGCUACCUGGAAGCCAGGUAUGUUCAACAUGGAAGCGCCGUCUUCCUUUUCUUUGUUACCACAUGUACAGUAAAGGAACAGGCAACAUGGUGCCGGCCAGGUAGAGCACCUAUUUUCAUAAUAAAAGAUUAGGGUGGAGGUGGCCAGCUUCUUCACAUGCUAUGCAAAUGGAACACCUGUUCCAACCAAUCUUUCGUGUCCUAUGUAAAUCAAACACCACCUCCUUAAGCUCAUCUGUAAAACCUUCUGCACUUCACUGUGGAGGCAGCAACCCAUUUUUUUUUGUUUUAUAGAUGAAGUCUCACUUUGUCACCCAUACUGGAGUGAACUGGCAUGAUCUCAGCUCACUGCAACCUCCACCUCCCGAGUUCAAGAAAUUCUCCUGCCUUGGCCUCACAGGUAGCUGGGACUACAGGCAUGUGCCACCAUGCCCAGCUAAUUUUUGUAUUUUUAGUAGAGACAGGGUUUCAUCAUGUUGGCCAGGCUUGUCUUGAACUCCUUACCUCAAGUAAUCCGCCCUCCUCGGCUUCCGAAAGUGCUGGGAUUACAGGUGUGAGCCGCUGCGCGUCACCACCAAUCCAUUUUCUCCAGGACCUCUCUCUGUGCAGAGAGCUCUUCUCUUUCACCUAUUAAACUUCCACUCUGAACCUCACUCUUUGUAUAUCCGCAUCCUAGUGUUCUGUGGCUUUAGACAAGGAACCUCGAGUAUUUACCCAAGACGAUGAUAUCGUUUCAUUGGCAGCUCAGAUACAUCUCUGUAAGGAGAGCAAUCUCAAGUGCCGUGAUAUGGUUUGGCUGUGUUCCCACUCAAAUCUCAUCUUGAAUUGUAACUCCCACAAUUCCCACGUGUCAUAGGAGGAACCUAGUGGAAGGUUAUUGAAUUAUGGGAUGGGUCUUUCCUGCACCGUUCUCAUGAUAGUCAAUAAGUCUCAUGAGAUCUGAUGGUUUUAAAAAUGGGAGUUUCUGGCCGGGCGCAGUGGCUUAUGCCUGUAAUCCUA
rnacentral:lncRNA from 10 species